AUGCGAUGAUGAGUGAAGUAUAGUCUGACCUGGUAUUGCCAUGGCCUCAGCACUGGCUUUGACCAGGGCAUGAUCCCUUAAUCUUCUCUCUGAGCUG
rnacentral:snoRNA from 1 species